rnacentral:rRNA from 1 species
GACGAACGCUGGCGGCGUGCCUAAUACAUGCAAGUAGAACGCUGAAGGAGGAGCUUGCUUCUCUGGAUGAGUUGCGAACGGGUGAGUAACGCGUAGGUAACCUGCCUGGUAGCGGGGGAUAACUAUUGGAAACGAUAGCUAAUACCGCAUAAUAGUAGAUGUUGCAUGACAUUUGCUUAAAAGGUGCAAUUGCAUCACUACCAGAUGGACCUGCGUUGUAUUAGCUAGUUGGUGGGGUAACGGCUCACCAAGGCGACGAUACAUAGCCGACCUGAGAGGGGGAUCGGCCACACUGGGACUGAGACACGGCCCAGACUCCUACGGGAGGCAGCAGUAGGGAAUCUUCGGCAAUGGACGGAAGUCUGACUGAGCAACGCCGCGUGAGUGAAGAAGGUUUUCGGAUCGUAAAGCUCUGUUGUAAGAGAAGAACGAGUGUGAGAGUGGAAAGUUCACACUGUGACGGUAUCUUACCAGAAAGGGACGGCUAACUACGUG